rnacentral:rRNA from 1 species
UACGGGGGGGGGCAAGCGUUGUUCGGAAUUACUGGGCGUAAAGGGCGCGUAGGCGGCCUGCUAAGUCACACGUGAAAUCCCUCGGCUCAACCGGGGAACUGCGUGUGAUACUGGCGGGCUUGAAUUCGGGAGAGGGAUGUGGAAUUCCAGGUGUAGCGGUGAAAUGCGUAGAUAUCUGGAGGAACACCGGUGGCGAAGGCGGCAUCCUGGGUCAAAACUGACGCUCAUGCACGAAAGCGUGGGGAGCAAACAGG